rnacentral:rRNA from 1 species
AUGCAAUGCAGCGACUGUGUCGGUGUCGGUGGCGGUGGCGGUGGCGGCGGCGGCGACGACGAUGACGACAGCAGCGGCGACGACAACGAUGACGACGGCAGCGGCGACGACAACGACGGCAACGAGGGCGGCGGCGUUAGUGGGCCGGGCGGCGACUACAAGUGCUCUUCUUGUACAGAUUUGGCCGCGUCCGUGGUCUACGUCAAGAGCCCCUACCUGGAUACCCUAUUGAGCAACGCCAAGGUCUCGUGCCCGUACAAAAAGUACGGCUGCGGGGGCACCUUGGCCUUCCGCAACGCCGCGGCUCACGCAGCCGCGUGCGGGUUUGCGUCCUGUUUGUGCCCGGAGUGCUCUUUCGAGGGCUUGCCGGCGGACCUCGUGCGCCACCUCACGGAGAAGUCCGGCCGGCACGGCUGGGCCGUCCACAAGAUCACGUACGGCAAGAACCACCCGUAUGUGUUCGACGAGCUGAAUUCGGAGAAGGAUAGUUGCCAGAAACUCUUGGUAGCGGAUGAGGAUGAUUGA